GUGUGAGUCUGGUUUGUGCAGUUAUCAAUGAAAGCAUAGCUAUCUUCCCUCUGUUUCAUCUUUAAACAUCUUCUGCAUUUUGGCUUUAGAUGGCAUUGUCGUGCCUUCAGUAAAUGGAGAUAUACUGGAACCUCUUGUCGGUGUGGUAAUUGGAGAGGAGUUUAGCUGCCUGUCAAGCUAAGCAAGGAGCUUCAGUUGAGGACAGGACACUGUGGUUAUUUUCCACUCAAAUACGUGGACUCUGUUACUGGCAAAGACAUAAAUAGCAGUAAUGACAAUGCUAAAUACAACAAUAAUGCUUGCAUGUAUAAGCACUUUUUUGUAAUCCAGUUUUUGUAUUGUCGUUUUUGUAAACAAAAAUGUAAACUACUAUCAUUGUAAUAUUUAUUUGACGGGUUAUCAUCAACAUUAACACACAAAGGUAAUAACUGGGGAUGGUGGAGAUCAUUUCUGCAUUGUCUGGCAUUGUUAAAACACAGAGUUAGAAAAAAAAUCUCACAAGUGAAAGCAGCAUUUUGUAGCAUAGAAAUGUAAUGUCAUUAUGCCAGUUGUGGUAAACCUUUGCUGCCAGUUACUGCUUAAAAUAACAGAAACAGAAAGUUAAAACAGAAUUUAGGGUUUUUAAGGUUAGGACAGUAUUCAGGAAAUUCUGUCUAGUUACAAUGCUUCUGUAAUACUGUUUUCUUAUCUGGAGAUAGGAUAAGAUUAUAAACUUGUGAACUUUUAUUCUGUAAUAGCUUCCACCUUGUUUGACUGAAAUGAACAAUGAAAUGAAGUGUCUGUGAUAACAAUA